rnacentral:rRNA from 1 species
CAAGUCGAGUGCGCGUCUGUAGCAAUACAGAUGGCGCACGGCGCACGGGUGCGUAACACGUGGGCAAUCUGCCCUUCGAUGGGGAAUAACUCCGGGAAACCGAAGCUAAUUCCGCAUAACAUUCCUUGGACUUCGGUUCGAGGAUUCAAAGCCGUAAGGCGUCGAAGGAGGAGCCCGCGCCCGAUUAGCUAGUUGGUGAGGUAACGGCUCACCAAGGCAAUGAUCGGUAGCUGGUCUGAGAAGAUGGCCAGCCACACUGGAACUGAGACACGGUCCAGACUCCUACGGGAGGCAGCAGUGGGGAAUCUUGCGCAAUGGGCGAAAGCCUGACGCAGCGACGCCGCGUGGGGGAUGAAGCAUUUCGGUGUGUAAACCCCUUUCGACUGGGACGAAUGCCUCGCAAGAGGAGUGACGGUACCAGUAGAAGAAGCCCCGGCUAACUACGUGCCAGCAGCCGCGGUAAGACGUAGGGGGCCAGCGUUGUUCGGAAUUACUGGGUGUAAAGGGUUCGUAGGCGGUGUGGCAAGUCGGGAGUGAAAUCUAUGGGCUUAACUCAUAGGCUGCUUCCGAAACUGCUGUGCUUGAGUGUGGGAGAGGCGCGUGGAAUUGCAGGUGUAGCGGUGAAAUGCGUAGAUAUCUGCAGGAACACCCGUGGCGAAAGCGGCGCGCUGGACCACAACUGACGCUGAGGAACGAAAGCUAGGGGAGCAAACAGGAUUAGAUACCCUGGUAGUCCUAGCCCUAAACGAUCAGGACUUGGGGUGCCACCCGUUCGGGUGUCGUCCCGGAGCUAACGCGUUAAGUCCUGCACCUGGGGAGUACGGUCGCAAGACUGAAACUCAAAGGAAUUGACGGGGGCCCGCAC